CUUGCGGCCACAUCCCAUUGAAAUGCCGGGUCUCGUAACAUCAGCGAAGUUAAGCAACGUCGAGCCUAGUCACUACCUAGAUGGGUGACCACUUAGGAAUAACAGGAACUGUAAG